UACGUAGGGGGCAAGCGUUGUCCGGAAUUAUUGGGCGUAAAGAGCUCGUAGGCGGUCUGUCACGUCGGCUGUGAAAACCCGAGGCUCAACCCCGGGCCUGCAGCCGAUACGGGCAGCUAGAAUUCGGUAGGGGAGACUGGAAUUCCUGGUGUAGCGGUGAAAUGCGCAGAUAUCAGGAGGAACACCGGUGGCGAAGGCGGCAUCCUGGACCAAUUCUGACGCUGAGGAGCGAAAGCCAGGGGAGCAAACGGG
rnacentral:rRNA from 1 species